rnacentral:tRNA from 1 species
GCGAGGGUAGCCGAGCUGGCCAAAGGCGCGGGACUUAAGAUCCCGUACUUAGUGUUUCGUGGGUUCGAAUCCCAUCCCUCGCACCA